rnacentral:rRNA from 1 species
CCUACGGGCGGCUGCAGUGGGGAAUAUUGGGCAAUGGGCGCAAGCCUGAUCCAGCAAUGCCGCGUGAAGGAAGAAGGCUUUCGGGUUGUAAACUUCUUUUGUCAGGGACGAAGCAAGUGACGGUACCUGACGAAUAAGCCACGGCUAACUACGUGCCAGCAGCCGCGGUAAUACGUAGGUGGCAAGCGUUAUCCGGAUUUACUGGGUGUAAAGGUCGGGUAGGCGGGACUGCAAGUCAGAUGUGAAAACCACGGGCUCAACCUGUGGCCUGCAUUUGAAACUGUAGUUCUUGAGUAUUGGAGAGGCAGACAGAAUUCCAGGUGUAGCGGUGAAAUGCGUAGAUAUUAGGAGGAACACCAGUGGCGAAGGCGGUCUGCUGGACAGCAACUGACGCUGAGGCGCGAAAGCGUGGGGAGCAAACAGGAUUAGAUACCCGGGUAGUC